rnacentral:lncRNA from 1 species
GUUUUAUUAGAAGAAUAUUUAGAUCAAAGAGAGUCAAAAUGAAAAAUCAUUGCCUACCAUGAGAAAAAUUGUGGAAUCUACAAACUUAUUUGAAAGUGUUUGUCCGUGUUUUAUAUUUUCGAAACUUGUAAAAUUUAUCUUCCUCCAUUAUUUUGAAGAUUCGGAAACAACCUCUCUAUCUCCACAAGGUAGUGGUAAGGUCUGCUUACAUACUACCCUUCCCACACCCCACUUGAGGGAUUUCACUAGGUAUGUUGUUGUUUUUGUUGUCUCUUUGAAGAUCCAAGAGAGCUAUUCACUGAAAAACAACCCUGCAAUCAUACACCACUAAAAAAGUCAGAGCAGCUAUUCUAAUUCACUACAUAUGCUGGAGGGAUAUGCAUAUUCUUGCAUCAUGCUCUAGCCAAAUGCACCAAACACGAAUAAGAAACAGACAUUACAUAGUUUUCAGGAUGUUAGCAUUCCAAAACCCCCAAAACAUAAUGGUUGUCACUAUACUUCUCUCACGAACAUGUCAUAUUCCCAUUAUUUUAGCAGUGCUGCAGUUUCACUUCCUAGUGCUCUGCCCUUUUAUCGUACUUUUAUCUUCAUGCUAUAGUUGUUCUAUUUGUUGGAGAAGUGUUCUCACAAGUGAAUACAAUUAAGCUACAUAAAUACUUCUCUUUGAUCAUAAAAAUUGUGUGAACUUCUCGUAAUUUUCAUGAUUCUGUUACCUACUGGCGUGUUUUGCUUUUCAUAAACUGAAAUAGUUUAACGGAAUAGAGCUUCUUAGCUUUGGCAUAAGAGAGUUCAAUCUUC